rnacentral:ncRNA from 2 species
CGACCCCGUGCGGGAGAGUCCUCCGAUUGAGAUCAUCGGAGGCGCCGAAGGAGCAAAUCCUCCCCGGAAUCUCUCAGGCCCCCGUACCGCACGGACGAG